GAUGACGCGUAGGCGGCGUGCUUAACACAUGCAAGUCGAACGAAGACAGUCUGAGUGCUUGCACUUGGAUGGACUGAGUGGCGGACGGGUGAGUAACGCGUGGGUAACCUGCCUUAUACAGGGGGAUAACAGUUGGAAACGACUGCUAAUACCGCAUAAGCGCACGGUAUCGCAUGAUACAGUGUGAAAAACUCCGGUGGUAUAAGAUGGACCCGCGUCUGAUUAGCUGGUUGGUGAGGUAACGGCCCACCAAGGCGACGAUCAGUAGCCGGCCUGAGAGGGUGAACGGCCACAUUGGGACUGAGACA
rnacentral:rRNA from 1 species